GAUCCUAGCUCAGAUUGAACGCUGGCGGCAGGCCUAACACAUGCAAGUCGAACGGUAACAGGAAGCAGCUUGCUGCUUUGCUGACGAGUGGCGGACGGGUGAGUAAUGUCUGGGAAACUGCCUGAUGGAGGGGGAUAACUACUGGAAACGGUAGCUAAUACCGCUAUAACGUCGCAAGACCAAAGAGGGGGACCUUCGGCCGUCUUGCCAUCGGAUGUGCCCAGAUGGGAUUAGCUAGUAGGG
rnacentral:rRNA from 1 species